rnacentral:ncRNA from 2 species
GGUAGUGACACGGGGUGUCGGCGCGCAUGCGGCCGGCUGAGAUAAGACCCGUAGAACCUGAUCUAGUUCGUACUAGCGGAGGGAUGUUGCUUCAUGGAAUC